rnacentral:tRNA from 1 species
UCCCUGGUGGCUCAGAUGGUAAAGAAUCUGCUUGCAAUGCAGGAGAUCCAGGUUUGAUCCCUGGAUUGGGAA